GAUGAAGAACGUAGCGAAAUGCGAUAAGUAAUGUGAAUUGCAGAAUUCAGUGAAUCAUCGAAUCUUUGAACGCACAUUGCGCCCUCUGGUAUUCCGGGGGGCAUGCCUGUUCGAGCGUCAUUACAACCCUCAAGCUUUGCUUGGUAUUGGACAUUGCCAGUUUCUGGCAGGUCUUAAAAUCAGUGGCGGUGCCAUUUGGCUUCAAGCGUAGUAAAUCUUCUCGCUUUGGAGAUCCAGGUGGUUACUUGCCAAUAACCCCCAAUUUUUUCAGGUUGACCUCGGAUCAGGUAGGGAUACCCGCUGAACUUAAGCAUAUCAAUAAGCGGAGGA
rnacentral:misc_RNA from 1 species